rnacentral:misc_RNA from 1 species
AAGUCGUAACAAGGUUUCCGUAGGUGAACCUGCGGAAGGAUCAUUACAAGGUUCUUAGUGACAUCUCGAAAGGAGACUCCCUCCAAGUCACUCCCACCGUGUCUAUAUACUUCUAGUUUGGCUUGGGCGGGGCGCUGCCUCCACUGCGGGCUCUGCUCGUACGUACCCGCCAGAGGACCAAACUCUGAAUGUUAGUGAUGUCUGAGUACUAUAUAAUAGUUAAAA